rnacentral:rRNA from 1 species
UACAGAGGGUGCAAGCGUUGUUCGGAAUUAUUGGGCGUAAAGCGCGUGUAGGCGGCUUUGCAAGUCGGGUGUGAAAGCCCUCAGCUUAACUGAGGAAGUGCGCCCGAAACUGCAGAGCUUGAGUACCGGAGAGGGUGGCGGAAUUCCCCAAGUAGAGGUGAAAUUCGUAGAUAUUCGGAAGAACACCAGUGGCGAAGGCGGCCAACUGGUCCGGCACUGACGCUGAGGUGCGAAAGCGUGGGGAGCAAACAGG